GAUGAAGAACGUAGCGAACUGCGAUAAGUAAUGUGAAUUGCAGAAUUCAGUGAAUCAUCGAGUCUUUGAACGCACAUUGCGCCCCCUGGCAUUCCGGGGGGCAUGCCUGUCCGAGCGUCAUUGCUGCCCUUCAAGCCCGGCUUGUGUGUUGGGUCGUCGUCCCCCCCGGGGGACGGGCCCGAAAGGCAGCGGCGGCACCGCGUCCGGUCCUCGAGCGUAUGGGGCUUUGUCACCCGCUCGAUUAGGGCCGGCCGGGCGCCAGCCGGCGUCUCCAACCUUUUAUUUUACCAGGUUGACCUCGGAUCAGGUAGGGAUACCCGCUGAACUUAAGCAUAUCAAUAAGCGGAGA
rnacentral:misc_RNA from 1 species